rnacentral:rRNA from 1 species
UACGAAGGGGGCUAGCGUUGCUCGGAAUCACUGGGCGUAAAGCGCACGUAGGCGGCUUUUAAGUCAGAGGUGAAAUCCUGGAGCUCAACUCCAGAACUGCCUUUGAUACUGGAGAGCUUGAGUCCGGGAGAGGUGAGUGGAACUGCGAGUGUAGAGGUGAAAUUCGUAGAUAUUCGCAAGAACACCAGUGGCGAAGGCGGCUCACUGGCCCGGUACUGACGCUGAGGUGCGGAAAGCGUGGGGAGCAACAGGG